rnacentral:rRNA from 1 species
CGGUAAUACGGGGGAUGCAAGCGUUAUCCGGAUUUAUUGGGUUUAAAGGGUGCGUAGAUGGCACAAAAAGUCUUGUGUAAAAAUGCUAGGCUCAACCUAGUAGAGCAAAAGAUACUUUUGAGAUAGAGUAUGGCAGAGGCAAGUGGAACUACAUGUGUAGCGGUAAAAUGCGUAAAUAUAUGUAAGAACACCAGUGGCGAAGGCGGCUUGCUGGGCCGAUACUGACAUUGAGGCACGAAAGCGUGGGGAGCAAACAG